AUAUUCCGAGCUUGGCUAUGCAGGCAACACUGAGCCUGCAUAGUUUACUAUUCUUUCAUGCAUUUCUGUCAGAGAGUCAGCAAAGGUAGUUGACAAAGCCCAAGGGAGAAUGUUGAGGGGAGUUGAUGAGCUUGACUUUUUCAUACAGGAUGAAGCCAUUGAUAAAUCUACGUAUGCUACAAAGUGGUCAAUAUGACAUGGAGUCACUGAAGACUGGGAUAUUAUGGAAAGGUUCAUGGAGCAAGUGGUUUUUAAAUAUUUUGAGCAGAAUCUGAGGACCAUUAUUUUGCAAUGACAGAACUUCCACUGAAUACACUAGAAAAUACAGAACAUUUUUGCAGAAAUUAUGUUUGAAUUAUUUAAUGUACCAGGAUUCUACAUUGCAGUUCAGGAGGUACUAGCCUUGGAAGUAUCUUGGACAUCUCAACAAGUGGGUGAAUAUAUGUUAAUGAGUAUAGUCAUUGACAAAGGAGAUGGAGUCACCCUUGUUCUCCCAGUUGUAGAAGGUUAUGUAAUUGGGAGCUGCAUCAAUCACAUCCUGAUUGUAGGUGAUACUGUGUAUUUCAUUCAACAACUACUAAGGGAGAGGGAGGUAGGAAUCCCUCUUGAGCAGUCACUGGAGACCACAAAAGCCAUUAAGGAGAAAUACUGUUACAUUUGCCCUGAUAUAGUCAAGGAAUUUGCUAAGUAUGAUGUGGAUCCCUGGAAGUGGAUCAAACAGUACACAGGUAUCAAUGUGAUCAACCAGGAGAAGUUCAUAAUAGAUGUUGGUUACAAAAGGUUCCUGCAACCUGAAAUAUUUUUUUACCCAGAGUUUGCCAACCCAGACUUUAUGGAAUCCGUCUUGAAUGUUGUUGAUGAAUACAAAACUGUCCCAUUGAUGUGCAUUGUCCACUGUAUAAGAAUGUUGUUCUUUCAAGGGGUUUGACCAUAUUCAGGGAUUUGAAUCUCAACUACAGAGAGAUUUGAAGAGUGGUACAUGCCAGAUUAAAACUCAGUAAGGAGCUCAGUGGCAGGAGAAUCAAACCUAAGCUUACAGAGUUUCGGGUGGUAAUCCAUCACAUGCAGCACUAUGCCUUAUGGUUUGGAAGCUUAAUGCUAGCCUCAACUCUGGAGUUAUUUCAGGUCUGUCACACCAAGAAGGACUAUAAAGAAUAUGGCCCCAGCAUCUGCCACCAGAGCCUUCUCUUUGGAGUAAUGUCUUAGUGUCUGCCUUGAAAGCAUCAUUUAAUAGUGUCAUGUUGGGGAACAAGUGUCCUUCAGAACCCAGAGAAGACUACCAUUUCUAAAUGACAUUUGGUGUUGACGUCUGAGCAGUAUGCUUGCAUCACCUAGUGCAUGAGGCACAGGGCAGAGUCAUUUCAGUAAAAGCCUGUCUUUAUGUGUUGACUGCUGUAUGCCCACUCCUCCUUCUCUCACUCCCUUUCUUCAUGCUUCCCCGGUUUCCCUCCUCCUUUUAACUUCAACUUUUUUGUUGACAAAUACCAUUCUGAAGGAAUUCAAAUGUGACUCUGAAAAUUGUUAAGAGGAAAAAAAAUUACAAAAAUGGCCCAAAAUAGUUCUCCCCCAGGAAAGAAUGCAGUGGUAUAAAUCCUUUUCCCCCAGCCUAUUUUUAUAAAUAAAACGUUAUAAACUUAAAAUACAAA